UUUUUUUAAAGAUUUCUUUUAUUUAUGAGUCCACUGUAGCAGUCUUCAGACACACCAGAAGAGGGCAUCGGAUCCCAUUACAGAUGGUUGUGAGCCACCAUGUGGUUGCUGGGAAUUGAACUCAGGACCUGAGCAAUCAGUGCUCUUAACCACUGAGCCAUCUCUCCAGCCCCACAGCACUCUUUAAAAUACGUGAGCGCGGAAACAAGGUUCAACUGCGCAUUGACCAGAUAGUGGAUUAAUAAAAUGAUAAACAGUCAAUAAAAAAAUUUCAUGGAGCAACGAGAAUGAACACACCAUGUUUCCUAUGACAAACAUACGUCCUAUGACAUAAGGCUGACCAAUGUAAUGCCCUUCAAGAAAUGCACAUUGAAUCAUUUCAUUUACAUAAAUGCUGUGGAGGGACAAGCUAGUUGAUAAAUAUUGAUCCACGGUGAUACAUUAAGGGUGGUGGUGGAGAGAGACGUUAAGGAGGAAGUGUGUGGGGCUUCUUGGGUAUUUGACCAGAUUUUCCUUUUGUUUUUGAAGCUGGGCAGUAGUUUGAUGGGUGCUUGACAGCUCAAAUGAGCUGUAAAAUGGUGUGGUGUGCUUCUUAGUCUCCAAACAACAUUUUAAAGACCUGAUGGGGCAGUGAGAUGGCUCAAUGGGUAUUGAUGACCAAACCUCAUGGUCUCAUUCCAUUCCCCAAACUUACAUCGUGGGAAGGGAAAAACCAAGUCCUGUAGAUCGUCCUCUGAUCCCCUGCGUGCGCGCGUGCACACACACACACACACACACACACACACACACACACACACACACCAUAGUACCCACCUACCCACUCACAUAAAGAAAUAUAGGAUCAUAAAAAGGAAAGAAGCCAAGAAUCAGCUGUUUCUUAUGCACAGAGAGGGUGUCAAAUAGAAACACCCCGAUAUUUCCAUGUUAAAAAUCAACUCUAAAGAGUCAGACUUGGGGGGUUGGGGAUUUAGCUCAGCGGUAGAGCGCUUGCCUAGCGAGCGCAAGGCCCUGGGCUCGGUCCCCAACUCCGGAAAAAAAAAGAAAAAGAAAAAAAAAAGAGUCAGACUUGGAAUGAAAAAGCUUCAGAGAUAGUAGCUUAAGCAAGUGUUCUCAGCCUGUGGGUCGAGACCCCUCCAGGGGUUGAAUGAGCUUUUCACAGGGGUCUUCUAAGACCAUCGGAAAUGUCAGAUCUUGACAUUACAACUCAUAACCGUUAUUAAGUAGUUAUUAAGUAGCAAUGAAAAUUUUGUGGCUGGGGUCACCCCAGCAUGAGGAAUUGUGUUGAAGGGUUUCAGCACUACAAAGGUUGAAAAACACUGGCUUACGAUUAUAUACUUCCUUUUAUGUGUGUACAAGAGACAUUUUAGGAGAUCUUCGGUGUAAGUAAUGCGGUGGCGCUGGGGGAGGCACAAGCCCCGGGAUUUAUCCGAAGUUGACUCCCUGCUCACAGCUGAUGUUUCCAAAGCUCGGCAAUCCUUCACUUGUGACUAAGCAAAGGUGACAGAUAAACGGAGAGAGAGCGGAGCCAGCCUCUGCAAACUCGCCCAUGGCCGUUGUUCAUCGCAGCUCUACCUGCUUGGGCUAAACCGAUGCUGGUGGUGACAGUCUGCGCAGCCGCUGUAGCUUUCCGUCUCCCACGGUGUUUUCUGUGUUAUCAGUUCGCUUCUGCUCCCGCACCUCCACGCCACGAGCCCACGAGCCAAGGAGAGUCCUCUCUAGCCCCAACAAAAUGUUACAACUGUAAACAGUCGGUCAGCAAAGUCCCCGAAGGACACAGCCUCAUUCUGUGACCACCAACUUCAGGUGUGGAUGGGUGAUGGCUCAGCUUGCCUUUACCAAAGAUGCCAAGGAGCCUCAAGACCUCGUAAUCUCAGUCCACACCCACUGAUUGCUUUCUACAAACGCUGAGCUGAAAUCCUUUUUCCCAUGGCUGCGGUUCUGGUACCUAAUCCUUAGUCUUCCAUAGAUGGUCGGCUUCCAGCAGCCUCGGCUCCGUUUGACCCCCACAAGCACUUCCGGACAUCUCCAGCAGGUGGCUCAGUUAUGCUUGAAGAGUGCUUCGGAUCCCAUUACAGAUGGUUGUGAGCCACCAUGUGGUUGCAGGGAUUUGAACUCAGGACCUCUAGGAAGAGCAGUCAGUGCUCUUAACCACUGAGCCAUCUCUCCAGCCCUGCAUGAUUAUCUUGACCUCAUAAUUUCUUCUUAGGCUCCGUUCAGCUACUCAGAGACGUCACGAACUUCGCUCAGAUUCCCUUUUCCAUCUUCCUUCCAAAUGCUAGAAAAUCGGAAACCCUCAAGAUAACUGGCCCAAGGAAGGUUCCAAGGAUGCUGGACCCACAGACAGCUCAGCUGACCAGCUAGCAGUGCACUGAACCAACAUCGCCUCCAUUUGGUUCUGUCCUGCUCUGUUCUUCUCUUAGCACACCAGAUAAUU